rnacentral:tRNA from 1 species
AGCGACGUAGCUCAGUUGGAAAGAGCAUCCGGCUUCGACGUGAUUCAGGGCGCACCUUGAUAUUACGGGCAGGAAGGUCACGGGUUCAAGUCCCGUCGUCGCUCCCC